rnacentral:rRNA from 1 species
CCUACGGGCGGCAGCAGUGGGGAAUAUUGGACAAUGGGGGGAACCCUGAUCCAGCCAUGCCGCGUGUGUGAAGAAGGCCCUCGGGUUGUAAAGCACUUUCAGUGAGGAAGAACGCCUGGUGGUUAAUACCCAUCAGGAAAGACAUCACUCACAGAAGAAGCACCGGCUAACUCCGUGCCAGCAGCCGCGGUAAUACGGAGGGUGCGAGCGUUAAUCGGAAUUACUGGGCGUAAAGCGCGCGUAGGUGGCUUGAUAAGCCGGUUGUGAAAGCCCCGGGCUCAACCUGGGAACGGCAUCCGGAACUGUCAAGCUAGAGAGCAGGAGAGGAAGGUAGAAUUCCCGGUGUAGCGGUGAAAUGCGUAGAGAUCGGGAGGAAUACCAGUGGCGAAGGCGGCCUUCUGGACUGACACUGACACUGAGGUGCGAAAGCGUGGGUAGCAAACAGGAUUAGAUACCCGUGUAGUC